UGGAAUGGAGUGAGAUGGAAUCAUAUUCCAUUGUUUGGAUUUGUAAAAUUUUAAUGGAGUGAAAUGGAAUAUGAUGGAAUCCAUUCCAUCCUAUACCACCACUUCCUCUUAUUUUUCAUUCUAUCCAAUUUGGGAGGUAUGCAAUGGAAUGGACUUUCUUUAUUACAUAAUUACCAUUUCACCCAUGUUUUUUAUUUCAUCACUUUUCAUAUCUUCCUUCCACUUUUUUUUCUUUUUCCGGCCAUUUAUUUUCAUGUGCAUCAACCACUCUCUUCUUCUUCUUCUUUCUCUGUUUAUCUUUCUUCUACAUAACAUAGAGCAAAAUUUCAACGUAACCGAC
rnacentral:lncRNA from 1 species